CAAACCCUUCUCUUCCUUAGCAGAGAGUCCAGAACAACCUGCUGUUCCAAGACUUUUCCCAAAGUUCCAAACGCGGACAACAACAAGGAAGAACGACACACGUGAGUAGCAAACGCGAAGGUCCCAUUGAUGGUGUUACAUGGGAGGUAUUCACAAAACCAUCCACGCGUGAUCCGCACGUCCCAACGUCUUCUUCCUCUAUCCCAUUCUGCUUUGGACAGUACUUUCGGCUGCAGCUUUUGUGCGUUUCCAGCUACUUGCUUCGUCCCCCUUAGCGCGAGAUCAUGCCACAUCGAUACCACGCACGGGAGAUCAAUCUUAAUCGUCCAUUCCGCUUUCCCUUUUCAGAAUAGAGUUAGAAUUUCAGAAAAAGGUUGUUUAUCCAAUUUAGUGAAAGUUUUUUUUUUUGAGAAUUUGAAUUGGAAGAGAUUCCCUCUCUCAUCAAUUAAUGAUCCGUUUCCCCCAAUUCAAACCCUAAAUUCCUCUCUAUAUAAACUCUUUAUCAUCAUUUUGGAGAGGGGGGGGGGGGGCAGUUGAGAUACGAAAAAAUAAAAGGGAAAAAAUUUUCUUUAAAAGCAUCAGAAAUAUUGAUAAUUUUUUUCAGAAAUAGUGAGCUAAAAAGUUGAGUGAAAUACUAAUUGUUAAGAAGAGGAAACCAUUUAAAUCCGAAGUUCUUGGAGAUAUUCCUUUAAUCUCAGUUUGGUUCACUCUAUUUCAUUCAUCCAAGUCUCUUGGUGUCAUUCUUAGGGUGCGGAAGUCGGUACUCUUUCAGGCUCACUAUUGUCCUUGUUCUUCUGCCCCUCUGAAGGUCGAAUACAGCAGAUACUGCUGGAAAUUCAUUUUUGCAGCCCCAAAGGGUCUAAAACGCAGUGAUAUAUCAGCUGUAUACACUGGUAUACAGAUGGAAUAUAGCACAGAUGGGUGCGAAACGUGAAAAUGCAGGUGAAACGUGCAGGGACAUCGAAUUCAAAUAAAAGACAGGCUAGGGAUUCCAAGAAUCGGUAGUAUACGUGAUGUAUACGUCAAAUAUACACUUGGUGUAUAUCAUGGAAAAUGGGGACAAAAAGGGCCUAAAGCUUAAAGAAUUUUGGGCCCAAGUCCAUUUGUGAUAAUUUUAGAAUUAGGACAGGUGGUCCAAAAGCCUAAUUUAAUAGAAUUUGGGUAAUUGACACAAGUUCAAAUACUCCCUCCUUUUCCCUCUUUAUUUAUGUAUUAUUAAAUUAACUAACACUUUGGUUAAAUUCUAUUAAUUUCCUAUGGA